CUCUUUCCCCUUCCCCUCGAUCCCCACGAGCCGCCGCACCCCUCCCUCGAUCCCCAGUUCCCCACGAUCCUCUCCUAGCCUGCAGCCACUGGCCUUGUCUCUCCACUCGCCUCCUCCUUUCCUCUACCAUGUCAUCAUCGAUCCCACCGCCGACCUUCUCCUCUGCUUGCCUCCUUCGGUCCUCUUCCAUGUCGCCGUCAAUCCAGAUCGGACCCUCUCCUUGCACGCCCCGUGUUCCUUCUUCUAACCGAUUGGGCACAGCUGCACCAACCCUAGCCCCCGAUGCAGCCGUCCACUCCUCACUCCUCCUCCCCCUCCCACAGCCACCGCACCCGUUUCUUGGCCCCCUGGCAACGCACGGGUCGGGGCUGGGAAGAAGAUCCGGGCCUGCGAGGAAAAUCAGCAAGGGUUGGUGCAGCGGCAAAUGCGGGCGGGAUCUGCCGUGGAGGGAGGCUCGUCAGCCGGAACAACAAGAGCAAGGAGGUCGUGCAGGCACGAAUGCUGGCGGGGUCGGCCGUGGAAGAAGGCUCGCUGGACGGAGCAUCAAGAGCAGGGAAGUUGAGGUGGUUCAGGUUUGCCUCUAUCUCCCCCCACUCUAUCUCUGCCCUCCCUCUUAUUUUCCCCCUUGUCUCGUGGAUAAGGGCGUUAGUGCACCACGAGGAGUAGAUCAAGCAUGGACCAUAGCAGCAGGAUCAAGGAGCUGCUGGUGGUUCUGGCAACAAGGAGGAUGAUCAAGAAGGAUUGGGGAACACCAGCAAAAAAAGUACUGGGGAAGACGGGCGGGACGAAGGCAUGGAGAUCGUUGUUUGGUGCCAAUGUGCGUUUGGUGUUGAUUGCUGGCUGGCCGAUUGCGGUGUGCUACCGGUGGUGAGAUCCAUGAGGAGGUGGCGGCAGACAGGGAGACAAGGACCUUUUUUCUUGCAUUCUCGUGUCUUUUGGCAAGGAGAAAAUUAUCAUUUGGAGGGGAAAAGACAAAUGAAAACAUGCAAGAUAGUAUAUGCAAUUGACAUAGCCUUUAGUUCUUGAAUCAGAGUUCAGUGGUGAAGAACACUGCAAUUUUUUGGUUGAUGGAUUGGUCUGAAUAUAUUGCAAGGGAUUUUGCAUGAAGUGGUUAUUCAAAGAAUAUAUUGCCACUUGGUGGGCUUUGUUGAAAAACCAUACCUACCGAAGUCCAAACACGAUGAAACUUUACAGUGAUAUUUUCUGGAAUGUAAGAGACCCUGGAAGCUUCGGGGAGGACAAAAAGACCCACGUGCCCCCCACAAGCCAGGUGGACGCCACCCGUUGACUUGUGGGCCCCACGUAGCUUCGAUUGACCUAAUUCUUGGCCUAUAAAUUCACAUAUAUUCUGAAACACUCGGAGUGGGACCCGAAACAAUUCUUAAGCUGCCGCAAACCUCUAUUCUUCCGCAAUCUCAUCUGGAGCCCUUUUUUGGUACUCCACAGGAGGCGGAAAUCAUUGGGGAGGUUAUCUUCAUCAACCUUUCUGCCUCCUUGAUGAUGUGUGAGUAGUUUCUACAGGACCUAUGGGUCCAUAGCAGUAGGUACAUGGCUUUCUCUCUCUCUUUUAAUCUUCAAUACAAUGAUCUUCUCUAAGAUCAAUCUGAUGUAAUCUUUUGCGGUGUGUUUGUUGGGAUCUGAUGAAUUUUGGGUUUAUGAUCAGAUUA